UACGGGGGGGGCAAGCGUUGUUCGGAAUUACUGGGCGUAAAGGGCUCGUAGGCGGCCAACUAAGUCAAACGUGAAAUCCCUCGGCUUAACCGGGGAACUGCGCUUGAUACUGGAUGGCUUGAGAUUGGGAGAGGGAUGCGGAAUUCCAGGUGUAGCGGUGAAAUGCGUAGAUAUCGGGAGGAACACCAGUGGCGAAGGCGGCUUCCUGGCCUGUUCUUGACGCUGAGGCGCGAAAGCUAGGGGAGCAAACGGG
rnacentral:rRNA from 1 species